rnacentral:rRNA from 1 species
CAGUCGCCGCGGUAAUACGUAGGGUGCGAGCGUUAAUCGGAAUUACUGGGCGUAAAGCGUGCGCAGGCGGUUCGUUAAGACAGAUGUGAAAUCCCCGGGCUUAACCUGGGAACUGCAUUUGUGACUGGCGAGCUAGAGUAUGGCAGAGGGGGGUAGAAUUCCACGUGUAGCAGUGAAAUGCGUAGAGAUGUGGAGGAAUACCGAUGGCGAAGGCAGCCCCCUGGGCCAAUACUGACGCUCAUGCACGAAAGCGUGGGGAGCAGACAGGAUUAGAUACCCCUGUAGUCCCUGUCUCUUAUAC